GCUGUGAAACUGUUUUCAAUUGCUUGUCUGAAUAAAAAAAUAGGAAGGACCAGCAAGUGGGUGUAACAGCUGGGUACCUGGACUUUGGAAGUACUGGAAAAAACUGCCUGCUGCUUCCUUCUCUGCCUGUUGCUGCACAGAUUGAGUCUGAAGUCAGGAUUUAAACAGUGAAAUCCCUAGCUGGUGUCAAGUCUGACAGCCUGCUGCACACUGUCUUGCUGUGAUGCAUCUGAACUCCCCUCAGUAGGAGCUCCAGAGGCAGAAGAGCAGCCCUUGGGAUCCCUCUUUUCUGUAAUUCAGAGCACGACCUGGUAGUGGGAACACAGCUCACCCUCUGCAUUUAUCAGGGUGUGGGCAGGGGAGAGGCAUCCGUGGGCAGUGGAGCAGGGCUCCUGCUUGGAAGCUCCCUGUGUGACUGCAGCGCAGACCGGCAGGAGCUGAGGAAUGGUUGGAUGCUAUUUCUGGGAUAUCUCCUCAGAGCAGGGUGUGUGUUUAACAGCUUUUCAGCAGUCAGAGCUCACAUCCAGAGCUGGAGCAGGGAUGUAGGAUGGACAGCAAUUUUCCCUGUUAGCACCUUGUGGUCUCAGUCUGGACAGGGCUGGUUUUUGAUCCCUGUGUUCAAUCCCACUUGUGCUGCCUGGGCAUUCCCUUAAGGGCAGCCACCUGGGCAUGCAGGUUUAGGUGUGUAUUUGUGUAUUUCUCACAGAAUAGCCAGCUGAGGUUGAGUAUUUGCAGCUGCUCCUGGUCUUUGGGAUGUGAAGAUGUCACACAGAUGAACGAAGUGCCUGUGUUACCCAUCCCAUAAACCUCUGCUCCCUCAGCCUUGGAGAGAUGGGUGUCUUUUCCAUUUGUUUUGUGUAAAUGAAGCUACAUCUCCUUGGUCAUACAAUCAAAAAGAAGAGAUUGGAAACUCCUCAGGGCAGAGUCUGUCUGUAUUGGUGCCUAUUAUAGCUCACACGCCUCCCUGAGAGGCAAUGCCUCAUAAUUAAUUGCUAAAUAAUUAAUAAUAAGAAGAAGCAGAUACUACUCAGGAAGUAAUUAACCCCCUUAUGCUUACAGGGGAGUCCUAUGCAAGGAAAGAGUAAUUAAAGGCUUUUUAAAUUACACAGAAAAAUCCCCACCAACCUCUGCCAGGACAGGUUUAGGAAGUGGGUCCAGUAGGAUUUCCUUAAUUAUCAAAUCAAAAUAACUUUGUUCCUGUAGGUAAAAUUUCCUAAUCUGGUAUUGUUUGUUCAUCUGUCUGUACCAGUGUUCAGCCUGGAUGAAUAAUUUUAUUUUUAUUUAAUUUAAUUUUUGACAGCGUGAAAUGGUUAGUUGUAAGGUGUGCUGGAAUUUUCCUUGGAAAGCAAGCAGGUGGCUAACUCACAUUGAAAUAGGGGAUUUCACUAUUUCAUUCAGGCAGUAUCAUACAAUGGACAAAAGUAAGACCUGGAUGGCAAAAUUAGUUUGCAAGAGGUACCUUUAGUGCCAUGAUCCACCCGCAAAGACACAGAGAGCACGUAGCAUCUUUUUUUGUUCAUAGCUGAAAGAGACUUAUGCAGUCAUUGCCGUGUUCCUCCAGAUGAAUUCACACAGUCCUGUAGAGGUGGGAAUUUUCUGGGACUUUGGAGCUGUCAUGGCUGAGAGCUGAAAGCAUCAGCUGAGUGUAUCAGAACACGCAACUACUCGAUAUCACUUCAUCAAGCUGCAGGGCACUGAUGCUCCAGUCCCUUGAUGCUGAGGCCUGCGUGUUUGGGGAUGUCAGGGACCUGUGUUCCCCCAGGCACACACCUGGUGACAGCAAGAGCCACUGCAAUUGCUGAGAGCCUAAUGCAGAUGCCAGGAAGAUGGAAUGGUCCCAGCAUCACCAUGACACAAUUCUCCCUGCAGCAGCAGGUGGCUGAGAAGGUGAAUUUUGCAUGGAGAGAAGCAGCAGUAUUCUGUAUUUUCAGAAAGAAGUCUCAAGCAAGACUGCACUGACAAGGGCCCGAGGCAUACAGCAAAAACAUCAGUGGUAAAUCUCAAUGAAAACAGGCACCAGCCCCAUGCUUUACUUGGGGAAUCAUUUUCCAGCCCCACUCAAAGUAAAUUUUCCCUUUUCUCUACCCCUCAACAAUUAUGCCAAUCCUAUUCUGGGCCUCCAAGUAACCAACUCAACCUCUCAACAAUAAAAGGCUCUCUAUGCUUGACUAUUUUUGCCACCCUCAGGAUGCUGUGGCAGCCCCUGUCCAUCCCCGCACCAAACCUAGCUCUGAUCUUUUUCCUUCUCUCCCUCAACCCUAACCACUGACUUCUCAAUCCUGGCCAGUGACUUACUCCUAAGGCAGCAUCCCCUCUGCCCAGAUGCUCAUUAUUCCUCAGAGAUGGAUUCUGCUAGUAGCUUUCAGUUUCCUUGGGCAGUUUCUUUCAGCCCCACUGACACAUGUCCAGUGGGCUGGAGGUUUCAGCUUUUCCUUUCCAUCAGACCCCACCCUAGCUUGACCCCCAGCAGAAGGUGCUGUUUGCAGCCUCCAUUCUCUUUUAGUGUGCUCCUCCCAGCCCCCAUCUAACCAUAGCUCUGAGCUUUCAGUUCUCCUGUCCUUAGAGAGCAUCCCUGCGUUCCUGGAAACAGAAUUCCAGGUGUGGUUUUACCAGUGUUAAGAAAAGAAUGGUCAUGUCCCUUGACCUGAUGGAAACACUCUUCCUAACACAGCCCCCCUUCUGUUAGUUGAAGCUUCUGCCUUUCCUUUGGCAGGUCCUUUUCAGCCCUCUUCCAGCUGUAGCUCUGCAGAGAUGGGAUUUAUUCAGCCUCACCCAGAAAAGGCAGAAGGAGAACUUCCUUUCUCUUUGCAGCUGUCUGAUGAGAGGGUGUAGAGAAGACAGAGCCAGGCUCUUCCCAGAGGCACAAAGUGACUGGACAAGAGGCCACAAGAUGCCAUCUGGGCCUUGGAAAACUCCAGAUAGAUCUUAAGGGAGCAAACAUCACAACAAGGAUUUUGAAUGCAGCUGAAUGUGAGAGAUACAUAACUGCAUAUCCAACCAGCACUUUCCCCUGAAGAGGAAGAGAUAAAAUGUUCUUGCUUCAGCCACCCCAUUGCUGGAUUUUUACACUGAGCCCUCCUGCCCAAUAGCAUUGAAGAAAGCUGUGUACAGUCUAAAAGACUGCAGCUACCCUUAACACAAAGGUUGGUUGAAUGAAAACCUCAGCAAAUGUUCUGUCUUCUCCUGAAUGUUGCUUUGUGUUGCAGGGUGGAAAGAUAGCUGGUUGAGCAGGAAUGUUGAUUUAUUUUGUAGAGUGGAAGGAUAGCUCUUUAAAUCAGGAAUGUAAGCUUUUUCUCUUCUUCAACUGAUGCUCACUAUUAAGAAUAUUUGUAUGCACAAGGCUACCUUAGUGUUCAAAGACAACUUCUCUUCAUCACUGGCACCAAUACCACAGACGACUGAACUGGCUUACAACCAGAAUCAAUCUUACCUCAUGCAUUCUUUUUCCAUGUGGCUGAAGGCAGCUAUCUAGAAGGAAAAGGAAACACAUCUUGAGGGCUGGAAGCACAAAACACAAAUGCCAGAGGUGCAUCACCAGGUGAGCCACAAGCUUCCUACAUGAGCUUUCAUAAGUAACCUUAUUUCUUUGUCUAAACAGACUCCAAACUCCUCUGUACCUGCUGGACUCAGAAUUGCUUAUUGCAUCAUGGCUUUGUGUCUGUGGU